UACGGAGGGUGCAAGCGUUACUCGGAAUUACUGGGCGUAAAGCGUGCGUAGGUGGUUCGUUAAGUCUGAUGUGAAAGCCCCGGGCUCAACCUGGGAACUGCAUUGGAUACUGGCGAUCUGGAGUGCGGUAGAGGGUGGCGGAAUUCCCGGUGUAGCAGUGAAAUGCGUAGAUAUCGGGAGGAACAUCCGUGGCGAAGGCGGCCACCUGGACCAGCACUGACACUGAGGCACGAAAGCGUGGGGAGCAAACAGGG
rnacentral:rRNA from 1 species